CAAGAAGGAAGAAAUUAUCAUGGCUGACCUCCUCGAGUCCUGGCUGGGGAACGUUCUGUUUCAUGCUCAACUGCCCGCUGACGAUCAUCUCUCCAGCGUGACACGUUAACUUGAUCAGCGAUCAUGAGUGAUGUCACGGACAAGAGGUGGUGACCAUAGACCUGCAUUAUAUGACUGACAGACAAGAACGG